CCUGGCGACAAUGGCGGAGGGGCCACACCCGUUCCCAUCCCGAACACGGCAGUUAAGCCCUCCAGCGCCGAUGGUACUGCAGUUUACUGUGGGCAAAAAGACAGCUUUGCUUAAGUGCAAGGC
rnacentral:rRNA from 1 species